rnacentral:lncRNA from 1 species
CUGCGCCAGCGCGAACGGAUCGGCGUACUCCUCCUUGCACAGCUGGCAGAUGAACUCGCCCAGGGGUCGGGUCGCGCCCCCCGCGCGGCCCCGCGGCGCCUCCACCGGACCCUCCUUGAUCUUGAGCCCCAGCACCGGCGACGUGGUCACCUCGUCCUCGAAGUGCAGCUUGCGGAUGGCCUUAGGCUUUUUGGCGCUCGGGGCCUUGGCUGCCUUGGCGGGAGGCUCUGCAGCGACAGCGGCAGGGGCCGCGGGUCGCUUGCCGGGGGGCCGCAGGGCCGCGGCGGGGGACAGUGGAGGACCGGGCCCAGGACCCCGAGCCGCCUCGGCGCCGGCGGAGAACGCAGUGCCCAUCUUGAGCUCGGCCGGCGCG